rnacentral:rRNA from 1 species
GGGCCCGCACAAGCGGCGGAGCAUGCGGAUUAAUUCGAUGCAACGCGAAGAACCUUACCUGGGCUUGACAUGUGCCUGUCGACUGCAGAGAUGUGGUUUCCCUUCGGGGCAGGUUCACAGGUGGUGCAUGGUCGUCGUCAGCUCGUGUCGUGAGAUGUUGGGUUAAGUCCCGCAACGAGCGCAACCCUCGCCCUGUGUUGCCAGCGGGUUAUGCCGGGAACUCACGGGGGACCGCCGGGGUUAACUCGGAGGAAGGUGGGGAUGACGUCAGAUCAUCAUGCCCCUUACGUCCAGGGCUUCACGCAUGCUACAAUGGCCGGUACAACGGGAUGCGACAUGGUGACAUGGAGCGGAUCCCUUAAAACCGGUCUCAGUUCGGAUCGUAGUCUGCAACUCGACUACGUGAAGGCGGAGUCGCUAGUAAUCG